rnacentral:ncRNA from 1 species
GGAGGGCAAGUCUGGUGCCAGCAGCCGCGGUAAUUCCAGCUCAAUAGCGUAUAUUAAAGUUGUUGCAGUUAAAAGCUCGUAGUUGAACUUCAGACCUGGCCGGGCGGUCCGCCUUACGGUGUGUACUGUCUGGCUGGGUCUUACCUCUUGGUGAGCCGGCAUGCCCUUUACUGGGUGUGCCGGGGAACCAGGACCUUUACCUUGAGAAAAUUAGAGUGUUCAAAGCAGGCAUAUGCCCGAAUACAUUAGCAUGGAAUAAUAAAAUAGGACGUGCGGUUCUAUUUUGUUGGUUUCUAGAGUCGCCGUAAUGAUUAAUAGGGAUAGUUGGGGGCAUUAGUAUUCAGUUGCUAGAGGUGAAAUUCUUGGAUUUACUGAAGACUAACUACUGCGAAAGCAUUUGCCAAGGAUGUUUUCAUUAAUCAAGAACGAAGGUUAGGGGAUCGAAAACGAUCAGAUACCGUUGUAGUCUUAACAGUAAACUAUGCCGACUAGGGAUCGGGCGAUCUCAAUCUUAUGUGUCGCUCGGCACCUUACGAGAAAUCAAAGUACUUUGGGUUCUUGGGGGGAGUAUGGUCGCAAGGCUGAAACUUAAAGGAAUUGACGGAAGGGCACCACCAGGAGUGGAGCCUGCGGCUUAAUUUGACUCAACACGGGGAACGUACACCAGGUCCGAGACAUGACUAGGAUUGACAGAUUGAUAGCUCUUUCUAUGAUUUUAUUGGUGGUGGUGCAUGGCCGGUUCCUUUAGUUGGUUGGAGUGAUUUGUUCUGGUUAAUUUACCGNUAACGAACGAGACCUUAACCUGCUUAAUUAGCCAGGCCGGGCCUUUUUGUCUGGUUCGGCCCGGCUUCUUUAGAGGGGACGUGUCUUGCGGUCUUAGCAGACGGAAGGUUUAGUAGGCGAAUAACAAGGUCGUGUUGAUGCCCUUACGUAUGUUUCUUGGCCGGCACGCGCGCUACACUGACAGAGGCCACGCGGAGGUUUAUUAACCUUUACGGUCCGGGAACGGGUCGUGGUAAGUCUUGUGAACUACUGUCGUGCUGGGGAGUAGAGCAUUGUCAAUUAAUUUGUCUCUUCUACGAGGAAUUCCUAGUAAGCGUGAGUCAUCAGCUCGCGUUGAUU